CCUACGGGUGGCAGCAGUGAGGAAUAUUGGUCAAUGGGAGAGAUCCUGAACCAGCCAAGCCGCGUGAGGGAAGACGGCCCUAUGGGUUGUAAACCUCUUUUGUCGGAGAACAAAACCCGGGACGUGUCCCGGACUGCGUGUAUCCGAAGAAAAAGCAUCGGCUAACUCCGUGCCAGCAGCCGCGGUAAUACGGAGGGUGCAAGCGUUGUCCGGAAUCAUUGGGCGUAAAGAGUUCGUAGGUGGCAUAUUAAGUCUGGUGUUAAAUGCAGAAGCUCAACUUCUGUUCGGCACUGGAUACUGGUAAGCUUGAAUGCGGUAGAGGUAAAGGGAAUUCCUGGUGUAGCGGUGAAAUGCGUAGAUAUCAGGAGGAACAUCGGUGGCGUAAGCGCUUUACUGGGCCGUAAUUGACACUGAGGAACGAAAGCCGGGGUAGCAAAUGGGAUUAGAUACCCGGGUAGUC
rnacentral:rRNA from 1 species